rnacentral:rRNA from 1 species
UACGAAGGGGGCGAGCGUUGUUCGGAAUCACUGGGCGUAAAGCGUGCGUAGGCGGCGAGGAAAGUUAGAAGUGAAAGCCCAGGGCUCAACCUUGGAAUUGCUUUUAAAAACUCCCUUGCUUGAAUCUCGGAGAGGAUAGCGGAAUUGUCAGUGUAGCAGUGAAAUGCGUAGAUAUUUGACAGGAACACCAGUGGCGUAAGCGGCUAUCUGGACGAGUAUUGACGCUGAGGCACGAAAGCGUGGGGAUCAAACAGG